AAUCUCAUUAAAAUGAAUGAGGAGGGUGUUUGUGUUUUUUUUUUUGUUUUGUUUUUUUAGUUUUUUAUGACAGAGCAGUAAUGUCUGUCUGAACACAGCAUUAGACCUUUUGACUCCAUCAACACUUUGGCAUAAAACUUCACAGGCUAGGUGAGAAGGUAGUAAACAUCUCUGUGUUCUUUGCAGUUCACUGAAAACAUGUUCCAGAAUUUCUGGGCUCUGAAGUUUUUAAUAUUCCAACAUCACCAUUUAGAGCUGCCAGCGGUGCCUAGUGCUGCUUUCUGUUGGGUGUUUGGGGCAUUCAGUCUUUCUUCUCAGCCUCUAUUAUUGAUAAAAGGUUUGCUUGAAUGUUGUUUUCCUCCACCCUGUUUCUGAUUUAAGUUUGCAUUGCUGGAAAGACACGGUGAGAGUCAAGUCAAGGUCAGACAGGAAGAAAGAAAAGAACAACUCAACCUUCACUCAAGAAAAUGUCCCAAGAUUCAUAGUACAACUCCUACACUAUUGCGGCUUGGGCUGACAAAGGUGAGCAUGAGGAGAGAUGGGAGUGCAGUGUGAUGACAGCGGUGAGCACAAAUGUAUGAUGUACAGAAAGUGCUUCAGACUGAAAUCGAUGGGAAUAUGGAAAGAAAUACAGUUUGACUUAUGUAAGUAAAAAGACAAAGCAAUG